rnacentral:misc_RNA from 1 species
CAAUAAGAGUGUUUAUGGCACUCUUCAAAAAUCCAUACCCACCUUGUGUGCAACGUAAGAAGAAAAAAAAGAAGAUGCGAGUCAUGGGAAACCCAAGUCUGCUCCCUUUCUUUUUCUUUUCCACAUACACCUUUCUAUUAGUUCCUAUUGUCUGAAGCUGUUAGAGAAUGACUAAUUCUUAAACA